GUCCCAGUAGCUCAGCAGGAUAGAGCAUACGCCUUCUAAGCGUACGGUCGGGGGUUCGAAUCCCUCCUGGGACG
rnacentral:tRNA from 4 species